CGGGGUGUAGCGCAGUUGGCUAGCGCGCGUCGUUCGGGACGACGAGGUCGCAGGUUCAAGUCCUGUCACCCCGA
rnacentral:tRNA from 1 species